rnacentral:rRNA from 1 species
UACAGAGGGCGCAAGCGUUGUCCGGAAUUAUUGGGCGUAAAGAGCUCGUAGGUGGUUUGUUACGUCUGCUGUGAAAACCUAGGGCUUAACCCUGGGCUUGCAGUGGAUACGGGCAGACUAGAGGUAGGUAGGGGAGAAUGGAAUUCCUGGUGUAGCGGUGAAAUGCGCAGAUAUCAGGAGGAACACCGGUGGCGAAGGCGGUUCUCUGGGCCUUACCUGACACUGAGGAGCGAAAGCGUGGGGAGCGAACAGG